rnacentral:rRNA from 1 species
GACACUGAGGAACGAAAGCAUGGGUAGCGAAGAGGAUUAGAUACCCUCGUAGUCCAUGCCGUAAACGAUGUGUGUUAGACGUUGGAAAUUUAUUUUCAGUGUCGCAGCGAAAGCAAUAAACACACCGCCUGGGGAGUACGACCGCAAGGUUAAAACUCAAAUGAAUUGACGGGGACCCGCACAAGUAGUGGAGCAUGUGGUUUAAUUCGAAGAUACGCGCAGAACCUUACCAACACUUGACAUGUUCGUCGCGACUUUAAGAGAUUAAAGUUUUCGGUUCGGCCGGACGAAACACAGGUGCUGCAUGGCUGUCGUCAGCUCGUGUCGUGAGAUGUUGGGUUAAGUCCCGCAACGAGCGCAACCCUUACUUUUAGUUGCCAUCAUUAAGUUGGGCACUCUGAAAGAACUGCCAGUGAUAAGCUGGAGGAAGGUGGGGAUGACGUCAAGUCCUCAUGGCCCUUACGUGUUGGGCUACACACGUGCUACAAUGGUAUUUACAAUAGGAAGCAAAACGGCAACGUUAAGCAAAUCCUUAAAAAAUACCUCAGUUCGGAUUGCACUCUGCAACUCGAGUGCAUGAAGCUGGAAUUACUAGUAAUCGUGGAUCAGCGUGCCACGGUGAAUGCGUUCCCGGGUCUUGUACACACCGCCCGUCACACCAUGGGAGUUGGUUCUACCUUAAGGCAAGGUUUUAAACCCUUGACCACGGUAUAGUCAGCGACUGGGGUGAAGUCGUAACAAGGUAACCGUA